rnacentral:rRNA from 1 species
CCUACGGGUGGCAGCAGUGAGGAAUAUUGGUCAAUGGGCGGGAGCCUGAACCAGCCAAGCCGCGUGAAGGAAGAAGGCGCCAAGCGUCGUAAACUUCUUUUGUCGGGGAACAAAGGGCGCCACGUGUGGCGUUGUGAGUGUACCCGAAGAAAAAGCAUCGGCUAACUCCGUGCCAGCAGCCGCGGUAAUACGGAGGGUGCGAGCGUUAAUCGGAAUUACUGGGCGUAAAGCGCUCGUAGGCGGUAUGUCAAGUCAAGGGUGAAAUCCCCGCGCUCAACGUGGGAACUGCCUUUGAAACUGGCAAACUGGAGUGUGUGAGAGGAUAGUGGAAUUCCAGGUGUAGGAGUGAAAUCCGUAGAUAUCUGGAGGAACAUCAGUGGCGAAGGCGACUAUCUGGCACAUAACUGACGCUGAGGAGCGAAAGCGUGGGUAGCAAACAGGAUUAGAUACCCUAGUAGUC